rnacentral:lncRNA from 10 species
UCCAAACUCAGCAGAGCACACAUCAGAGUGUGUUUAGUUCAUCUGGGCUGGUGAGUUCCAGUGAUGAAAGCCUGGUGCUAAUGGAGGCGAGGUCACCGGUUCAAUCCUCAUAGGACCCAGUUCACUUACAAGAGAAAAAACACUACUCAAGAACCAGAGACACCUCCUGACCCCAGUCACUGACCACAAGAAGGAUGGGGUGAAAACGAUGGCUGACCCAGGGCAAAACCAUCUGAUAAACAACUCAGACAGCACACCCCCAACCCCCAGCAGGAGAAGCCAGCACCUUCUAGUUUAAGGAUUUUAUAAAACCGCUUUUAUAAAAAUCCCUGCGGACAAGUUCACAGUAGCUGACUCCCCAAGAUGAGACGUGCUGCUUUAGGUAACCUUUGGGUCCUUUCUGCUUGGGAAAUUCCUUUGUCCCCUUUAGUUCACCCCAGAAGGGCCCCAGUGUGUUGCACCGGGAGGAGAUUUAGCCUCCCGGGGGCCAGGGUCAGGGGAGGGAGCUGUGGGACGCAGAACCUGCCUGCUCUGCAGGUCUGAAGGAGAGACUGUUGAACUUCACAGACUUCCGGAAAAACAGGCGGUGAGGGAGGUGGAGGGGAGGCGGGGAGGGGGCUGCUGUGUUUAUCCAAGUGCUCCAGCGGCUGCGGGAGUUUUCUGCUUGUGUUUAUAUUUUCAGAAGGGGGCUGAAGAGCUAUGCCCAGACUGGAGCACGAGUCUGCUUGCUGGUGUGUUUCUCAGUCCAGUUUGAUUUUUUAAAGGUACCCUCCAUGGGACAGAACUCUGCUUACAAACUUUAAAACUGGAUGAUGCAAAAAUUACCUGCACAGCAGAGGAGGACAACGAACCAUAGUAAGUUUAAGUGAUGGAUUCUUUAAUCUAUCAUUAAUUUGUACAGAUAAGUCAAAGAAAGGUAGUAGCAGAUACGGAGCCCUCGCCGUGUACGCAACGCUUGACAUCCUUUCUCACUGAGUCCCCACAGUAGACCUAGUGCUGCCAUUUUGCAGGUUUCAGAGGAUGCAUGGAAACACCUGAAUGUCCAGGCAGAAGUCUCCUGCAGAGGUGGAGCCCUCAUGAAAAACCUCUACUAGGGCAAUGCAUAGACGAAAUGUGAGUUGGAACCCCCACAGAGUCCCCACUGGGGCACUGCUUAGUGGAGCCAUGAGAAGACAGCCACUGUCCUCCAGGGUCCAGAAUGGUAGAUGGACUGACCGCUUGCACCAUGAACCUAGAAAAGUCGCAAACACUCAACACCAGCUCAUGAAAGUAGCCAGGAGUGCUGUACCCUGAAAAAGCACAGGGACAGAGCUGCCCAAUACCAGGGGAGCCCACCCCUUGCAUCAGCAUCCCUGGAUGUGAGACAUCAAGUCAAAGUACAGUGUUUGGGAGCUUUAAGAUUUAACGAGUGCCCUGCUGGGUUUUGGACUUGCAGGGGGCCUGUGGCCCUGUUGUUUUGGCCAAUUUCUACUAUUUGGAAUGGGAAUAUUUACCAAAUGCCUGUACCCCUAUUGUAUCUUGGAAGUAAGUAGCUUAUUUUUGAUUUUACAGGCUCAUACAUGGAAGAGAGUUGCCUUGUCUGAGAUGAGACAUUGGACUGUGGACUUUUGAGUUAAUGUUGGAAUGAGUUAAGACUUUGGGGGAAUGUUGGGAAGGCAUGUUUGAUUUUGCAAUGUGAGAAGGACAUGAAAUUUUGGAGGGGCCAGUGAUGGAAUAAUAUGGUUUGGCUCUGGGCCCCCACUGAAAUCUCAUCUUGAAUGGUAAUCCCCAUGUAUUGAGGAAGGAUCUGGUGGGAGGUGAUUGGAUGGUCAGGGCAGUUUUCCCAUACUGUUCUCAUAAUAGUGAGGGAGAGCUCAUGAGAUCUGAUGGUUUAAAAGUGGCAGUCUCCCCUGUGCUUGCUCUCUCUGCUGUCACCUAGUGAAGAAGGUACUGCUUCUCUUUCACCUUCUGCCAUGAUUGUAAGCUUCUUGAGACCUCCAGCCAUGUAGAACUGUGAAUCAAUUAAAUCUCUUUUAUUUAUAAAUUACCCAGUCUCAGGUAGUUCUUUCUAGUAGUGUGAACUGCUAGAAAUACAAUGGGGUUAGUGUCCCUAUAAGAAGAGCAAUAGACCCCAGAAUUUUCUCUCUCUCUUCCCUCACAGUAUGAGGACACAUAUUGCAGGCAGCCAGGAACUGGUCCUCACCAGAAUCAAAUCUGUGAGCACCUUGAUCUUGGACAUCCCAGUUUCCAGAACUGUGAGAAAGAAGUGUCUGUUAUGUAAUCCUCCUAGCAUCUGGUAUUCUCUUCUAGCAGCCAGAGCUUACAAAGACAACUAUGUUCUUGGCACUGAC